CAGUAGAACUAGAGAUCAAAUCUUAAAUUAUCUGAUAUAAAUCUUUACAGAGGUCUGGAUGUGCAGAUCCUCUACUUCGCAUGUACAUCAGACGCCACAAGAAAGCAGGAUAAACUUCAAUCCAAUUGCCUUCACAACUCAAUCAAUCGAGGGAUGAGAUGUGCUGGUGUGAUACCUCACACCAGUAGGUGGGAUGUCCAAGAUGGAUCCACACCCA
rnacentral:lncRNA from 1 species